rnacentral:rRNA from 1 species
AUUAAACGCUGGCGGCAUGCCUUACACAUGCAAGUCGAACGGCAGCACUGGGGCAACCCUGGUGGCGAGUGGCGAACGGGUGAGUAAAGCAUCGGAACGUGCCCUGGAGUGGGGGGAUAACGUAGCGAAAGUUACGCUAAUACCGCAUAUUCUGUGAGCAGGAAGGCAGGGGAUCGCAAGACCUUGCGCUCUGGGAGCGGCCGAUGUCGGAUUAGCUAGUUGGUGGGGUAAAGGCCUACCAAGGCGACGAUCCGUAGCGGGUCUGAGAGGAUGAUCCGCCACACUGGGACUGAGACACGGCCCAGACUCCUACGGGAGGCAGCAGUGGGGAAUUUUGGACAAUGGGCGAAAGCCUGAUCCAGCCAUGCCGCGUGAGUGAAGAAGGCCUUCGGGCGUGUAAAGCUCUUUCGGUGGGAAGAAAUUGCAUGGGUUAAUACCCUGUGUAGAUGACGGUACCUGGAGAAGAAGCACCGGC